rnacentral:rRNA from 1 species
AGAUUGAACGCUGGCGGCAUGCCUUACACAUGCAAGUCGAACGGCAGCACGGGAGCAAUCCUGGUGGCGAGUGGCGAACGGGUGAGUAAUACAUCGGAACGUGCCCAGUAGUGGGGGAUAACCCGGCGAAAGCCGGACUAAUACCGCGUACGACCUACGGGUGAAAGCAGGGGAUCGCAAGACCUUGCGCUAUUGGAGCGGCCGAUGUCAGAUUAGCUAGUUGGUGGGGUAAAAGCCCACCAAGGCGACGAUCUGUGGCUGGUCUGAGAGGACGACCAGCCACACUGGGACUGAGACACGGCCCAGACUCCUACGGGAGGCAGCAGUGGGGAAUUUUGGACAAUGGGCGCAAGCCUGAUCCAGCCAUGCCGCGUGCGGGAAGAAGGCCUUCGGUUGUAAAGCUCUUUCAGUGGGAAGAUAAGUGACGGUACCCACAGAAGAAGCCCCGGCUAACUUCGUGCCAGCAGCCGC